UACGUAGGGUGCAAGCGUUGUCCGGAUUUAUUGGGCGUAAAGAGCUCGUAGGCGGCUUGUCGCGUUGUUCGUGAAAACCGGGGGCUUAACCCUCGGCGUGCGGGCGAUACGGGCAGACUGGAGUACUGCAGGGGAGACUGGAAUUUACGGUGUAGCGGUGAAAUGCGUAGAUAUCGUAAGGAAGACCAGUGGCGAAGGCGGGUCUCUGGACAGUUCCUGACGCUGAGGCACGAAGGUCAGGGGGAGCAAACGGG
rnacentral:rRNA from 1 species